rnacentral:rRNA from 1 species
UACGAGGGGGGCGAGCGUUGUUCGGAAUUAUUGGGCGUAAAGGGUGCGUAGGCGGUUUGAUAAGUCUGAUGUGAAAUCUAUGGGCUCAACCCAUAGUCUGCAUUAGAAACUGUCGGGCUUGAGUAUGGGAGAGGUGAGUGGAAUUUCCGGUGUAGCGGUGAAAUGCGUAGAUAUCGGAAGGAACACCUGUGGCGAAAGCGGCGACCUGGUCCUAUACUGACACUCAUACACGAAAGCGUGGGUAGCAAACAGG